CCGAUAGAGGCGCGGAACUCAUCAGUACGCCGGUCGAGUCCCUCAAAGGACGCUGACGCCGCCGGAAAGGGUGUUCCGCCGAAAUGCAGAAUCGUUUGAGCGGUGCUGUGUUGGUUGCCGAGAGAAUAUCCCGUCAACUGUCACAAUUUCGAUUGUGGAGCGCUAUCU
rnacentral:ncRNA from 1 species